CUAACUACGUGCCAGCAGCCGCGGUAAUACGUAGGUGGCAAGCGUUAUCCGGAUUUAUUGGGCGUAAAGAGAGUGCAGGCGGUUUUCUAAGUCUGAUGUGAAAGCCUUCGGCUUAACCGGAGAAGUGCAUCGGAAACUGGAUAACUUGAGUGCAGAAGAGGGUAGUGGAACUCCAUGUGUAGCGGUGGAAUGCGUAGAUAUAUGGAAGAACACCAGUGGCGAAGGCGGCUACCUGGUCUGCAACUGACGCUGAGACUCGAAAGCAUGGGUAGCGAACAGGAUUAGAUACCCUGGUAG
rnacentral:rRNA from 1 species